rnacentral:rRNA from 1 species
AAUGGGCGAAAGCCUGACGGAGCAACGCCGCGUGAGGGAUGAAGGCCUCUGGGCUGUAAACCUCUUUUAUCAAGGAAGAAGAUUACGGUACUUGAUGAAUAAGCCACGGCUAAUUCCGUGCCAGCAGCCGCGGUAAUACGAAGGGACCUAGCGUAGUUCGGAAUUACUGGGCUUAAAGAGUUCGUAGGUGGUUGAAAAAGUUGGUGGUGAAAUCCCAGAGCUUAACUCUGGAACUGCCAUCAAAACUUUUCAGCUAGAGUAUGAUAGAGGAAAGCAGAAUUUCUAGUGUAGAGGUGAAAUUCGUAGAUAUUAGAAAGAAUACCAAUUGCGAAGGCAGCUUUCUGGAUCAUUACUGACACUGAGGAACGAAAGCAUGGGUAGCGAAGAGGAUU